rnacentral:tRNA from 1 species
UCUCUGGUGGCUCAGUGGUAAAGAAUCUGCCUGCCAGUGCAGGAGACGCAGGUUCAAUUCCUGGUCCGGGAA